rnacentral:lncRNA from 1 species
AGAGGUGGAUGGGACAAUUUACUUGCAGUAAUACCUGGAGGCUCAUCUGUUCCACUUUUACCCAAGCACUUAUGUGAUGAUGUCUUGAUGGAUUACGAUGCACUCAAGGCUGUCCAGUCAGGACUUGGAACUGCUGCAGUAAUUGUGAUGGAUAAAUCAACUGAUAUUGUAGAUGCAAUCGCAAGGCUUUCAUACUUCUACAAGCACGAGAGUUGUGGACAGUGCACACCCUGCAGGGAAGGGACUGGAUGGCUCUGGAUGAUCAUGGAAAGAUUGAAAGUUGGGAAUGCAAAGUUGGAAGAGAUUGACAUGCUUCAGGAGGUGACCAAGCAGAUUGAAGGGCACACAAUUUGCGC